rnacentral:rRNA from 1 species
UACGUAGGUGGCAAGCGUUGUCCGGAUUUACUGGGCGUAAAGAGCGCGCAGGCGGUCGGAUCAGUCGAAUGUGAAAGCCCCCCGGCUCAACUGGGGAGGGUCAUUCGAUACUGUCCGACUCGAAGGCAGGAGAGGGAAGCGGAAUUCCCGGUGUAGUGGUGAAAUGCGUAGAUAUCGGGAGGAACACCAGUGGCGAAGGCGGCACUCUGGGCCAGUACUGACACUGAGGAGCGAAAGCGUGGGGAGCGAACAGG